UACGGAGGGUGCAAGCGUUGUCCGGAAUCAUUGGGCGUAAAGCGCACGUAGGCGGUUCUUUGAGUCUCAUGGUGAAAGGCUGGGGCUCAACCCCAAGCAUGCCGGGGAUACUGGAGGACUGGAGACAGGUAGAGGCCAGCGGAAUUCCGGGUGUAGCGGUGGAAUGCGUAGAGAUCCGGAAGAACACCGGAGGCGAAGGCGGCUGGCCGGACCUGAUCUGACGCUGAGGUGCGAAAGCGUGGGGAGCGAACAGG
rnacentral:rRNA from 1 species